rnacentral:lncRNA from 1 species
CUCACACCCACUCGGAUUCCACGUGAGUAUCCUCUUAUCCUUCUUCUCUGCUUCCAACAGCUGCGACCCUGGCUCGAUAUCCUCCAUUCGUCUCGCAUCUCGUAGGUCUUUUUAAAUCUCCGUGCUCCGCCGUCGUCUGCUGGUUCGCGUUCCAGGCUUCCCGGUCUCUUAUUCAGGUCGACAUCAUCUCCCAUGAAGCACCAAUUCUGGCUCCGUCUCUCCGGCCUCCUUGGAGGCUCUUGGGGAAUCUGCUCCUAUUGUUCCCCGGCACAUCUGGACCUGGUGCCCGUGCUCUGCUUUAGACAUUCUGCCUUCCCUGCCGUUUGGAUCAUCCUCCCAGACCAGAUAUUGGAUUAUCUCCCCCUUCUGGAGCAGGGGCUUCAUUGCCUCCGUUAUGGCAGCUAUCAGCUCCAUAAAACCUCGACGGAACUCCUCCUGCAACGUCCCGCUGAUGGUGACCAUAGCUCUUCUUUACGUCUCCUGCGCUUGUGCUAGGCGACGUUAAUGCCAGAAAUAAUUUCGGAAGGAAAUUCUUUUGUCUUCGGACGAUACCAGAUUUCAUCAUCGGUAGGUUCCCUGACUUAGGAGUCCUGCGAGUCAUUUUCAUCUUGACCGUAAGUUGUAAGUGCUCACCUACCAUUUUUCUACCUACCUAACUUUUCUUUCUUUCACAGAACUAACUACCUCAAACAAACUCAACAAUAACUCAACUCAGCUUAACAAGAUCAACAAUAAGAGGGGAAAGUAACCACAACUGCUACUGGAGCCAUCUGCACCUAGUUCCCUACGUCUUUCCUUGUCCAACGUCUACAACUUUUUCGCGAGCGCUGUUGACCUCUAAUCUUCUACAGAAGAUUAAGAGUAAAGGGCGCUCACUCUGCUACCUAACUCUGCUACCUGCUUCUAGCCCACUACUCUACUGGAACCUAUCUUCGGGAUCCUGUAGCUGCUCCAGGUGAAUCGCGUGGCUGACUUAUUGUCCCCACGGGCCACCAAGAGCAGAACAAAUCUCUACGAAAUACUACCUUCCCGGUCUCCUCCAGCGGUAAGCAGAGGAAGCAGCACAAAAAAACUACACGAACUUAACUAAUUUGGGUAUUUUCCCUUUCCAGGCUCUCUUUUGUCCACCAAAUUUUGGCUCCGGACUAUGCUCACAUUGAAACCAGUGUAUUUCAAAAAUGAGCUACGCCCCCUGGGUCUAGGGAAGGGCGGCGAGCUAACGGAGCGUGUUGGUGUGAGAAGUGUUGUAGAUGUAGAUGACAGAUGAAGAAAAAAUUUAAAAUUUGACAAAACACCGCUAAGGUGCAGAUGUAGUACUGAGUGCCGGGUAAAACAGUUGUAAUGCGUAAGAAGCGUCUCACACGUCCCUUCUCGUUUUUAUUUUGUUUUGAGCCGUGUUUUAACAUUAUUUAAGAUUUGUCUUUCGCAGACAAUUAUUAAAUUUCCUCUUUGGGUACUUGGCAAUCGUAUUUCAGUUUUCUUAUCGGUUGUUGAGUCCGAAAAUCCUUAGCAGGCUGCUGGAUAUGCUGUUAUGUAACUAUCAUUAUUAGAAUUUUAAAAACUGACGUUUGUUCGGUUCGGUUGUGGCAGCCAGAUGAGAAUUUAACGCUCAGCACCAUGGCUUGUGACACAUACAUACACACAUGAAACUGCGAAUCUGACUUGAAGAGGAAAAGCUAAACAUUUUUGUUUUGGCACAGCUGACUUGUGUGAGAGCCGGUUUCCGAUCAAUACUCGGGAGAGCCAAACGCCAAACUCUCUCAGCCGAAGGCAUGGCAACACGAGCCGAAGGCCCUGGGCCCAAUCCCCUCUACACACUAAGCAACAAGUUUUUUUAGCUAUUUGAAGUCUCUAGUUGUUGUUUUCUUAGUCGUACAAUACAUUAUAUUCCAUAUACUCUUCGAGUACUGGGUACAACAAAAAUUUAAUAUUUUUAACCAUUAACAUAACAUGUAAU